GAGUGAUCCACAGAUAAUAAACAGCACAGCAGGGCUCUGAUGCUAAAGCCUGUUCUGUUAACCACUGUGCAGUCUUCACCAUGCUGUUAGAGCACAGGGGACCAUCUUGGCCUAGGUAGAAGGACAGGGACGACUGGAGAAAGCAGUGGACUUCCAGGAGGAGGUGACAUCUGAGCUCAUCAUGAGCAAGCUUUCCUCAGUCAAGUGUUGGCAAGGCUCACUGUAAACAGAGGAAGCCACAUGUGGGAAUAGCAAGAUGCCAGCAGAGUACAGGGAAAAGCUAGAGUGGGGGUGUGAGUGGGAAGAGGGCCAGGAGCACAUUGCACGACCCAUGAGUGAGCGCCUCCCUACUUCUGUACCCUCGGUCCCUUUGCCCUGACCCUAUUCCUAGCCCUGGCGGAGAAUGUGAAGAUGAGGCCAGAGGGAACAUUGAGAAGAAGGAUCUCAGAGAAGAAGGAAAAUUCAGCAGAACCUAGGAAGUGCAACUGCUAUUGCCUGGGCCUUUGUUCCUGGAAUGGACUCUGAGAGUGCAUGAUGCAGCUUGGAGGACGUCUCCUCUGGGAUCCCUCCCCACUGCCCCCACCGCUUCCUGGGGUGAAUGAGUCCUCUGUAGCCAUCAGGAUUCGCUGUAUCAGGAGUGUUCCUCUGCUGUCACCUCUGAUGACUAUUUUCCUCAAUUCAGAAUCCCCAGCACCUGCAAAAGGCCUGGAUAAAGAAGGGGCUGAGCAGGAACAGAGGAUUGCAGUUCUUAGGAUGGCCACGCGAGGGAAGUGGUGAGCAGCCUCCAGGAGGACUUCGGCUCGGCUGUGCCAAGGCACCUGCUGAGGACCCAGAUGGCCCGCCUGGGGUUUCCGGGACUUCCCGGCCCCUAAACAUGUGGGCGCUGGCCAGAGCGCCGCAGGAGAAGCCUCUGCCAGGUGCUCGGUCUCGACUCUCACAGCCCCAGCCAUCCCUCCUGCUCGUCCCCGUCUCGGCUUGGAGGGGCUGGCGGGCAGGAGGGGACAGGGUAGGGGGCAACCAGGAUAUAUCCCCUCCGUUUUGUCAUUUGUCUUUCAAACUGACUUAUGGCCAUUUCUUCUGUAUAGAAGCCUUGUAGUCAAACAUUUCCAUGUUUUCUCUUAUGGCUUCUAGGUUUCAUCAUGCUUAGAAAGUCUUUUCCAUCUCCAAGAUUAUUAAAAUAUUCACUCAUGUCUUUUUUCUGAUACAUUAUGGUGUUAAAUAUGUGGUCCACCUGGAAUUUAUUUCAGUGUCGAAUAAGGGCACAGCUUUUUGUAAUUUCCCCAAAAGACUU
rnacentral:lncRNA from 1 species